AGCCCAUUUUGACAUGAACUAGUCAGCAAAGCUGGGAUGGAUUUGGAACCUGGAGAUAUACUAAGGUGUUACCCAAGCUUCAGUGAACAACCAGAAAGUGGAGGAAGAGGAGAUACUGAGAAAAUUCCCAUGUCAGAUCAAUCUUUCUAGUAGAUAGGUCUGAAGAGUUGGACUACACUGAAGUGACAACAGAAGAAGUUUUAGAACAAAUCACUAAAUACUAAUAAGCCACCUGGAGCAGAUUGCAUUCAUCCAAAAGUUAUGAAGGAACUCAAAGGUGAAAUUGCAGAACUGUUGACAAUAGUAUGUAACCUAUAGUUACAAAAGGCCUUUGCCAGGGGACUGGCAGUUUGCCAACAUAACACCAGUCUUCAAAAAGGGUUCCAAAGGUGAUCCUAGGAACUACAAACCAAUAAGUCCCACUUCUAUCCCCGGUGAAUUGAUGGAAUCUAUAAUAAAGAAUAAAAUCAGCAGUCA